AUACGACGUAUAUCAAGGCUUUCUGCUUUACAGAUUUCACAUCAGUGUCUCAAUGCAAACUCAGCAAUGUUGUAACUCCAAGAAGAAGGGACACGAGCAACCCACUAAAUGUGUGUUUACACUGCUGAGCCCACACUUAUAAUUUUGUGAAUUCAAGCGGCAGCCCUAUGUGAGACCAUUUCAUGAAACUAAGAAAUUUUCAGGGACGAAAAGGAAAAUUCAGAGGGAACGAGAAUAAUAAAUGCAAAUUAUGAAUCCGUUUACCAAACACCGGCAAGAGGAAGUUCACAGUCUCCAAGGCACCAAAUUACGCCAUUGAUCCGAACCCAAAAUGGCUCCAUGUCUGGCAUUUUCAGAGGCCGUUUCCAAGUCAAUGUCAUCCUAUCUGCCUUAAACUAAAAGAGACAAAUACGACUGGAAUAAGGUAAAGAUGGAGUGGUUGUCUUGCUGUUGUGCUGGUAUCAGACAUGGGCUCUUCAUCAGAUGACUAAUGGAGUUGUGCAGCUAACCAGGAGGCCCAAGGCUGUUUGUUAGCUCCUAACAAGGUGAACCAGCUCCUACGGAACAGCACACUAGCGCUGAAGGAUUUAUUAUAGAUCUGCGUGUCCGCGGGCCAUGAACAGUAUAGCGCCGGUCUCAUUGUAGUGGGUCCACCACACUAGCAGAGGGUUUAGAUCAUUAUUGCCUCAUUGUUUUGAUACAAUUUUGCAGAGCGGAUGAUGGAUGGAUGGAUAAUCGGAUGAGUAAAGGAGUUUUGGUAGCCUAGCACAUGAGGGUAAUGGAUGGACUGCAAAAAC
ensembl:lncRNA